UACGUAGGUGGCAAGCGUUGUCCGGAAUUAUUGGGCGUAAAGAGUGCGUAGGCGGUCUAUUAAGUUCUAUUUGAAAGCCCAUGGCUUAACCAUGGAGGGUGAUAGGAAACUGGUAGACUUGAGAACAGGAGAGGAAGGUGGAAUUCCACGUGUAGCGGUGAAAUGCGUAGAUAUGUGGAGGAACACCAGUGGCGAAGGCGGCCUUCUGGCCUGUGACUGACGCUGAGGCACGAAAGCGUGGGUAGCAAACAGG
rnacentral:rRNA from 1 species